AUUGUAAUUUAUUGCAAAAUAAACGCAUCUCAUAAUUUUCGAAAUGGAUGAUUUCGAUUUGUUGUUAAUUGCUCUGGUCAACAUGGGAGCACUUUUGGUGCAACGUCGUAGAAACCGUGAACGUCAUCGUCGGCGUGUCUGGGUACGACCAAUUAACACAAGGAGAAGACAGCAAGGAGCGUUUUACAAUCUUUUUCAGGAGAUGAAAACAGAUGAGCAAAUGUUCCACAAGUAUACACACUGCCAACAUUCCAGCACUUGAUGGACAUUGUUAAUCCAAGUUUAAUGAAACGAAGUCCACGGGCACUUGAACCAGAGCAAAGAGUUGCUUUUACAUUGCGAUUUCUGAUUGGAGGCAAAGUUCCAGCAGUUGCUUUUGCCUAUCUAAUGUUGGUUUAUCAACAGUACAUAAAAUAAUUAAAGAGACGUGUGACGUAUUUGAAAGACUUUCUUGGUCCUAUCUAUCAACAAACUCCUUCAAGAGAAGAAUAUUUACAAAUUGCUGAGGGUUUUUGGACAUUAUGGAAUUUUCCACAUUGCUUGGGGGCAAUUGAUGGAAAACAUGUCGAUGCUCAAUGCCCCCCUAAUUCUGGUACGCUGUACUUUAAUUAUCACAUACGGUACAGCAUCGUACUUUUGGCUGUGUGUGAUCACAAUUAUCAAUUCACUUUGGUGGAUAUUGGGUCAAUGGGGAAGAACAGUGAUGCGAGAAUUUAUGGGAACACCCAGUGAACACAUUUCAUAACGGCAAUAUAACAUGGAAGUUACAUGUAAUAUCACAAUGUUAUUCUUGUGAUAUCAUAACAUGGAAGAAACAUGCAAUUUAACAUUUGUUAUAUGCAGGUAAUAUAACUGUUAUACAUUUUUUUUUGGCGUUACAGUUAUGUAACAAAAAUUGUGUAAUUGUUACGUAACACGCUUGGAUCAAUGUUAGUAUAACUAGUAAUAUUCUGGUAAUAUUAAUGGAGUGUAACGGAAUAACAUAUACAAUAUAAGACUGUUGA